UUGCUAGUAAUCACAGGUCAGCAUACUGUGGUGAAUACGUUCCCGGGCCUUGUACACACCGCCCGUCACACCAUGAGAGUUGAGAAUACCCGAAGCCCAUGUCAAAGUGGUCGAAGGUAGGCUUGAUGAUUGGGGUGAAGUCGUAACAAGGUAGC
rnacentral:rRNA from 1 species